AAUAUUGGACAAUGGGCGAAAGGCUGAUCCAGCCAUGCCGCGUGUGUGAAGAAGGUCUUCGGAUUGUCAAGCACCUUAAGUUGGGAGGAAGGGCAGGAAGUUAAUACCUUGCUGUUUUGACGUUACCGACAGUAAUAGCACCGUGUAACUUCGUGCCAGCAGCCGCAGUAACACGAAGGGUGCAAGCGUUAAUCGGAAGUACUGGUGGUAAAUCACGGGUAGGUUGUUUGUUAAUUUGGACAUGAACGCCCCGGGCUCAACCUGGGAACUGCUUUCAAAACAGGCAAGCUAGAGUAUAGCAGAGGGUGGUGGAAUUUCCUGUGUAGCGAUGAAAUGAGUAGAUAUAGGAAGGAACGCCAGUGGCGAAGGCAACCACCUGGGCUAAUACUGACACUGAGGUGCGAAAGCGUGGGGAGCAAAC
rnacentral:rRNA from 1 species